rnacentral:rRNA from 1 species
GAUGAACGCUAGCGGCAGGCUUAAUACAUGCAAGUCGAGGGGCAGCACGGGUAGCAAUACCUGGUGGCGACCGGCGCACGGGUGCGUAACGCGUAUGUAACCUACCUUUAACUGGGGAAUAGCCCCGAGAAAUCGGGAUUAAUACUCCAUAAUAUUACGAUGUGGCAUCGCAUUGUAAUCAAAGCUCCGGCGGUUAAAGAUGGGCAUGCGUGACAUUAGCUAGUUGGUGAGGUAACGGCUCACCAAGGCGACGAUGUCUAGGGGUUCUGAGAGGACAUUCCCCCACACUGGUACUGAGACACGGACCAGACUCCUACGGGAGGCAGCAGUAAGGAAUAUUGGGCAAUGGACGCAAGUCUGACCCAGCCAUGCCGCGUGCAGGAUGACGGCCCUACGGGUUGUAAACUGCUUUUGUACGGGAAAAAACCCUCACUCGUGAGUGGGGCUGAUGGUACCGUAAGAAUAAGGAUCGGCUAACUCCGUGCCAGCCGCCGCAGUAAAAC